CCUACGGGAGGCAGCAGUGAGGAAUAUUGGUCAAUGGGCGGAAGCCUGAACCAGCCAAGUCGCGUGAGGGAAUAAGGCCCUACGGGUCGUAAACCUCUUUUGUCAGGGAGCAAUUGAGUCCACGUGUGGGCUUAGCGAGAGUACCUGAAGAAAAAGCAUCGGCUAACUCCGUGCCAGCAGCCGCGGUAAUACGGAGGAUGCGAGCGUUAUCCGGAUUUAUUGGGUUUAAAGGGUGCGUAGGCGGAAUAUCAAGUCAGCGGUAAAAAUUCGGGGCUCAACCCCGUCGUGCCGUUGAAACUGAUGUU
rnacentral:rRNA from 1 species